CCUACGGGGGGCAGCAGUGGGGAAUAUUGCGCAAUGGUCGAAAGAGUGACGCAGCGACGCCGCGUGAAUGACGAAGGCCUUCGGGUCGUAAAGUUCUUUCGACAGGGAAGAAAAUGCCUAUAAGUAACUGUGUAUGUAUUUACGGUACCUGUAUAAGCAGCCCCGGCUAACUCCGUGCCAUCAGCCGCGGUAAUACGGAGGGGGCGUGCGUUGUUCGGAGGGACUGGGCGUAAAGAGCACGUAGGCGGUGGUGUAAGUCAUUAGGCAAAGACUAGAGCUCAACUUUAGUAAGGCUAGUGAUACUGUAAUACUAGAGUAUCAGAGAGGAAUGCAGAAUUCCUGGUGUAGCGGUGAAAUGCGUAGAUAUCAGGAGGAAUACCGUUGGCGAAGGCGGCAAUCUGGCUGGAAACUGACGCUGAGGUGCGAAAGCGUGGGUAGCAAACAGGAUUAGAUACCCCUGUAGUC
rnacentral:rRNA from 1 species